UAGAAAAUAGUUUAAUAUAAAAUAUAAAGUUUGGGACUUUAAGAUGUUUAUGAACUUUUUUAU
rnacentral:tRNA from 1 species